GAGUUUGAUCUUGGCUCAGAUUGAACGCUGGCGGCAUGCCUUACACAUGCAAGUCGAACGGCAGCACGGGAGCUUGCUCCUGGUGGCGAGUGGCGAACGGGUGAGUAAUGCAUCGGAACGUAUCCUGGAGUGGGGGAUAACGUAGCGAAAGUUACGCUAAUACCGCAUAUUCUGUGAGCAGGAAAGCGGGGGACCUUCGGGCCUCGCGCUCUUGGAGCGGCCGAUGUCGGAUUAGCUAGUUGGUGAGGUAAAGGCUCACCAAGGCGACGAUCCGUAGCAGGUCUGAGAGGAUGAUCUGCCACACUGGAACUGAGACACGGUCCAGACUCCUACGGGAGGCAGCAGUGGGGAAUUUUGGACAAUGGGGGCAACCCUGAUCCAGCCAUGCCGCGUGAGUGAAGAAGGGCCUCGG
rnacentral:rRNA from 1 species